AGCUUGGAAAGCUGAGAAGUUGAGGGAUGGGAAAGGACACAGUGAACCUUAAACAGGUACCAUAUUUAAGUACUAAAUAUAUUAAAAUGCUUUCUUACAGCUAUGGUGGGAGCAGAGGAGGGCCAAAAGUGAGUUCAGUCCUGAUAAAAGCAUUUAAUUUCCACAUACUCUCACUGGAAGAAGUUUGGUUUCUCUGCAGAUGCCCAGAGAAGAGACUGAGUUCACUUCAUUUGUGCACAUAUUUCACUGUUGAUGAAUCAAACCAACAUGAAAUGGGUCACUAGGAAAUUGACUUACUUUUGAAUGACACCUGGUAAAAGAUAACAGAAGCGGAGAACCACAGAAAGUAUUUGGAAGUUCAGCAGAAUAUGCAACAAGCCAAAAAGCUGAUAAUUUCUAUACCUCUUAUUUACUUCUCACUGCCUUCUGAUUGUGUGGACAAAUGGUACCUUCAGGACAAGGCAUUUCCACAAUGCUUGACUGGUGGAGAUGUAGUCAGAACCUGGUGGUUGACAGAAUUAGACGACACAAGAGACAUAGUUAGGAGGUAAGUCCCUUUCUCUCCAGAACUGUAGUCUAGGUGCAGGACUGUGCAAAUAACUACUUUCACAGGGUUUUAUUAAGCUGGGAACUAGUUAGUGAGUUGCUGCUAGAAAGCCGUCAGAUGAGAGCUAAGUACUCUUUUCUUGUAAUAAUAGUAGCCGAGCACACAAAAACUGAGAACAGUUUAGUUUGCUUGUCUCUUAUCCUCUGGGUGAAAUAGAUGAAGGAUGAUAAAGCAGCUGUACUCCUGCCCUGAAAGAGGAAUUUAAGCUUUUCAGAUGGCCUUUUACAUGCUGUUUUGGUAUACUUUGUUCCUAGUGGCUCAUAUACAGGAGCUUCAAAUUCCAGAAGAGGCUGAAAACUAUGUAUUCAUGCCUUUAAUAAAAAUUCUCACAUAGGUUCU
rnacentral:lncRNA from 1 species